rnacentral:rRNA from 1 species
CGGUGUGUACAAAGGGCAGGGACGUAAUCAAUGCAAGUUGAUGACUCGCAUUUACUUGGAAUUCCUCGUUCAUGAGAGAAAAUUUCAACACUCAAUUCCAGCCAUAAUAAUAUCUCAACUGUUUGCCAAGCCCUGUCGGGCGAGGACAAUCACGCUGUUACCAUCAUUGUAGCACGCGUGCGGCCCAGAACAUCUAAGGGCAUCACAG